rnacentral:pre_miRNA from 1 species
GUCUGUUGUAGUUAUAUGUUUCCGUGUCCAAUAUUUAACUAUUCGUUUUAUUUAAAUUUUUUUAUGAUUAAUAUUUUUGUUGCUAUUAGAUAAUGCGUGAUUUAAUUUUUUUUUCAUAAAUUUUUAAAUAAGAUGGAUGAUCAAACGUUAGACACAAAACUCACAGCUACGUUUUAA